UACGUAGGGCGCAAGCGUUAUCCGGAAUUAUUGGGCGUAAAGAGCUCGUAGGCGGUUUGUCGCGUCUGCCGUGAAAGUCCGGGGCUCAACUCCGGAUCUGCGGUGGGUACGGGCAGACUAGAGUGGCGGUAGGGGAGAUUGGAAUUCCUGGUGUAGCGGUGGAAUGCGCAGAUAUCAGGAGGAACACCAAUGGCGAAGGCAGAUCUCUGGGCCGUAACUGACGCUGAGGAAGCGAAAGCAUGGGGAGCGAACAGG
rnacentral:rRNA from 1 species